AUUGAACGCUGGCGGCAUGCUUUACACAUGCAAGUCGAGCGGCAGCGCGGGGGGCAACCCUGGCGGCGAGCGGCGAACGGGUGAGUAAUGCAUCGGAACGUACCCUGGAGUGGGGGAUAACGCCGCGAAAGCGGCGCUAAUACCGCAUAUGCUCUGAGGAGGAAAGUGGGGGACCGCAAGGCCUCACGCUCUGGGAGCGGCCGAUGUCCGAUUAGCUAGUUGGUGAGGUAAAGGCUUACCAAGGCGACGAUCGGUAGCUGGUCUGAGAGGAUGAUCAGCCACACUGGGACUGAGACACGGCCCAGACUCCUACGGGAGGCAGCAGUGGGGAAUUUUGGACAAUGGGGGCAACCCUGAUCCAGCCAUGCCGCGUGAGUGAAGAAGGCCUU
rnacentral:rRNA from 1 species